GUUAGAGUUUGUUGGCUGUGCUGUGAGGAAGAAGGAGUUGGUACUGUGAGGAGCUGCCCAUAAGAAAUUACCAAGAAGGAGAAACAAGACUAUAUCCCACAUUCUCAAGGCUUUUUUGAGUGUGCCAUUUCUCUCCUGCUUUGGUUCCUCUGGCUGUAUUCAGUGAUGGAACUCAUAAGUGUCACAUUCAACUGAACCCAAAUCUCAAAGCAAAACUCAACAGUCAUCAUCAAUUAUUUGCCUAAGUCAAGUGUUGAAACAUCCAUCAGUUAUGGUUCCUUGGAGACCGAUUAGUGCUUUCAGUAAAUUUGACAGGAAUUUCACAUCUGUAAGAAGUGGAAAAAAAAAAAAUGAAGCCCAGCUGAAGAAGCUUGCCGAACUUGGAUUCAACACCAUGUCUUUCACACAGCUCUCACCAUGGUGUUUUAGGGAGUGGCAGCUGCUUGCUCUGACUAAGGGAGGCUGAAGGCUGUGCAUCACCAAACAUAAAGACACGAAGAACAUAAUUCAGCCUGGACACAAAGGAAAACUCUGUCCAUUGAGGGCAAGGUGAACUGUUACUUGUUUGUGUCUGUCACUCAGACUUUGGAUCUCUUCUGCUAUAGUAAGCUAAUUACUUAGUGUCAUUAAUUAAUCUAAUAAUUACUACUCAUUGCUAUAAGGCAGGAAAGAUUCUUCAAACCUUAUAUAAUUUUUGUACCUUAUCUCACAAGAAACCACAGCGCUCCCAGAAAGCACAUUUGUGCCUAGAAGGAUUCUUUCAUUACCAAAACUUGUGUCAGGUUGUCCCACAGCCUGACUCUUUCUUUUGCCCAGAUUAAAUACAGCUAUACCAGAAGAAAUAUAGAGAAAACAGAAGAAAUCUAAUAGGGAACCUUCUAUGCCAAUUUUGGGAGAAGGGCAGAGGAGAUAUUUAGAAGCCAGAUAACUAACUGAAUAUAGUUAAUUGAAGGGUUAAUCUUCAUUAGUAACAAAUUGCCUCAAGGCACUAAAAUGCAUAGUAGAAACAGGAAUAAAACCACUUUAAACAAAUUUAUAUGGCUGCCAAAUAUAAACAAGACUUGGAAAAAACAAAUGCAUUAACUUCUGCGUGGGUUAGGAGAAGCAAGAAAAGAGCUGCCUGGUAGACCUUGACGAAAGCAGCUCAUUUUCUACAAAGAAACAUAAUGGGGGAGAAUUUUUAAACCUGUCUAGAUGACACUGGUGCUUAAAUACCAUUUGCAAAGUAAUUCUGACCUAUUAGAGCCUAGUCCUGAUAAAAUGGGACUGGCAAUGAAGGGCAGAGAACAUUGCUUCCCAGGGCAGCAGCAGAAAUGGUACAGAUUGUACCAAACCCUCCUCAUGAUUUCUAGAGUGUUUAUGCUCACAGUAAGUACCUAAUGUUCACUUACACUUGCUCGCAUUACUUUGUUAUUAUAAAAAAAUCUAAUUUAGUGGCGCCAACAAUGGCUGCUACAUCUCAUUUAUACUGGCAUAAAUGGGCUUGACACUGCUGAUGCAGAUGAUACAGAUACAAGCAACUGCUUGGUCAGUGACUAUGUGGAAAAGGACUGUAGUUCCCACCCACUCUAAUAUCCCAGGAAUACCUGCAAAUGCACCAUGACUGCAAGGGAUGGAAACAAGAAGGAAGGAAUUUGGAAGAAACUGAAGUUGCAGGAGGGAGCAGGGGGAAUGACUGCUCUGGAGGCUGCAGGAAACAUUUACUGUGCUGCUGCACUUUGUUACCACAUCUCCAACUGUGCAGGCCUAAUGUUGAGAUUAAUUCAGGUUCAGAAGAAAUGCAGUUAACAUCAAUAUUCAAUGUGAAAAGCAGCCAUGUAGGUUAAGUGUACCAGAGCUUUUUAAUUUAAUGAAUUUUGCUAAGCAGCCUCUGAAAUUGUGCUUUAGUUUGUCAAUUGCAGUCCUGACUAAAUCUGUUGAAGGUUCAAAAUAAAAUAACAAGAUUGAAAAAAAAAUUGAAAUUGUUAAUUUCAUCAGUUAAAGUUAUCAUUUCACUGCACAGAGACCUGUCUCCCUGCUUAUUUUUUUCAAAAAGUCAAAAAUCUUGCUGAAGCUGAACAUGAAAACAGAAGUGAGAACAUGCUGCUUACACUCUUGCACAUAAACACAGAGCUGUAUGAGUCACAGCAGGUUGACAAGAAGCUGAAACUAGGGGUGAAUGAACUCCACAGUAUUUUUGUCCAUAAAAGCAGUCCCUAUAGUUUUGCUGGGGGCCUCAGUUUUCAUUCUCUCUACUUCUCCAUCUGUAGAUACCACCUGUUUGCUCCUU